rnacentral:rRNA from 1 species
GAUGAACGCUAGCUACAGGCUUAACAUACGCAAGUCGAGGGGAAACGAUAUUGGAAGCUUGCUUCCGAUAGGCGUCGACCGGCGCACGGGUGAGUAACGCGUAUCCAACCUGCCCACCACUUGGGGAUAACCUUGCGAAAGUAAGACUAAUACCCAAUGAUAUCCCUAGAAGACAUCUGAAAGAGAUUAAAGAUUUAUCGGUGAUGGAUGGGGAUGCGUCUGAUUAGCUUGUUGGCGGGGUAACGGCCCACCAAUGCGACGAUCAGUAGGGGUUCUUAGGGAAAUGUCACCCAGAAUGGAACUGAGAAUGGGUCCAAUCUCCUGCGGAGGACAACAGUGUGGAAUGUUGUUCAAUGGUCGAGGGCCUGAACCAGCCAAGUGGCGUGCAGGAUGGCGGCCCUAUGCGUUGUAAACUGCUUUUAUAAGGGAAUAAAGUGAGAGUCGUGACUCUUUUUGCAUGUACCUUAUGAAUAAGGACCGGCUAAUUCCGUGCCAGCAGCCGCCGUAACAC